CACAAGAACACAAGGAAUUGAAAAAAAUUAGAAAACAAAGGAUAUAACCUGAUUAAAUUGGAGCCAAAACUCUGGUACCAACUGAUGCGAACCCCGUAGCAAUGGAAACUACGAAACCCACAACGAGAUUGAUGCAGAACCCAAGAACGCCAAUACUAACCCGAUUUUGGAUCUUGAACCCCAAGAAUUGAACCAAGAAACCCUAGAUUAGCGAAGAACCUAAAACC
rnacentral:lncRNA from 1 species